rnacentral:rRNA from 1 species
GAUGAACGCUGUCUACAGGCUUAACACAUGCAAGUCGAGGGGAAACGACGGGGAAGCUUGCUUCCCCGGGCGUCGACCGGCGCACGGGUGAGUAACGCGUAUCCAACCUGCCUCUGACUGAGGGAUAACCCGUCGAAAGUCGGCCUAAUAACACAUGGCAUCGUCUGCGGGCAUCCAACGACGAUUAAAGAUUUCAUCGGUCAGGGAUGGGGAUGCGUCUGAUUAGCUUGUUGGCGGGGUAACGGCCAACCAAGGCUACGAUCAGUAGGGGUUCUGAGAGGAAGGUCCCCCAGAUUGGAACUGAGACACAGUCCAAACUGCUACGGGAGGCAGCAGUGAGGAGUAUUGGUCAAUGGGCGGGAGCCUGAACCAGCCAAGUAGCGUGCAGGAGGACGGCCCUAGGGGUUGUAAACUGCUUUUAUGCGGGGAUAAAGUGAGGGACGUGUCCUUCAUUGCAGGUACCGCAUGAAUAAGGACCGGCUAAUUCCGUG